CAAAGAACUUUGAAGAGAGAGUUCAAGAGGGCGUGAAACCGCUGAGAUGGAAACGGAUAGAGUUGACGAAACCUGGCGACAUUCAACCGGUUGGCUGGGCGGCCCUGCGGUUUUGUGCCUCGAUGAGGGCAAAGGUGUGGCAAGCUGUGCGGCUUACACGACCGGUGUAUUUGUUGUUGGUAUGCGCCGAGAAAUUCGCUUCUAUGUGCUGACACUUUGCGUAGUGGACCACCCCUUUUGGGCGUGGAACCCUGCACAAGAGGAUGCACAUUGGGGGUGAAUGAGAUAUUUCUUUCCGCAGUAGCGCAACAGUUUUGACCAGGCGUGCUGGGCCGUUGGGCGGUCGCGUGCGACUUGCCUACGGUGUUGCUGCAUGCCGGUACUUGAUGUGGUUGCGUUGAGAGAAGUUUCUCGGUGUGAAAGUUGACCACCUAUCCGACCCGUCUUGAAACACGGACCAAGGAGUCUAACAUAUGCGCGAGUCAUUUGGUGGUAAACCUAAAGGCGUAAUGAAAGUAAAGGCCGUCUUGAUGCGGCUGAUAUGGGAUCUGCUCAAUUUUUCCGAUUGUGCGGCGCACCAUAGUCCCGUCCCCGUUGCAUGCAAUAGGGCGGAGAUAGAGCGCAUACGCUGGGACCCGAAAGAUGGUGAACUAUGCCUGAGCAGGAUGAAGCCAGAGGAAACUCUGGUGGAGGUCCGAAGCGGUUCUGACGUGCAAAUCGAUCGUCUGACUUGGGUAUAGGGGCGAAAGACUAAUCGAACCAUC
rnacentral:rRNA from 1 species